UCUGUGUGGGAGGUUCGUGAGCUCAGAUGUGAUGCCUGGAAGGGAAGAUGCAUCAGGGAGGGGAGCUGAAAGCUGUGUUCACCUGAGCAGGUGCCAGUUUGUUGCUUCCUUGAUUUGUCUUCCCUGAGCAGCUUUUCAAGCAGGGCAAAAAGAGGAGGGAAGCCUCUUUCUCUUUCUGCAGCAUCAUGCAGUUAGUUGGGAUGAGGGGGCUUCUGAGAGGAGAACAAAAACUGACCCAAGUCCAUGUGCUUGGCUGCUUUGAACAGCCUCCCAGCCAUGGCUAUUCCCAGGCACAGGCGCCUCUCUUUUUGACAUAACCUCCCCCAAGUGCUUAUGUGCUCCGGAGGCAGAAUCGGGCCUUUCCGCUCCCCUCUAGCACCCAGCUAACUGACUCCUGAAAGCACAUACGCCUUUGGGCUUUUCCUGGCUGUCAGCGGCCUGUUAUGGUAUGUAAAGCCUUGUCUGUCCCUCGCAUGGCCGAAUUACCCGUGAGCACACAGCAAAAAGGCUCUGCUUCACUCUAGACAGUAAUCUGGGUGCUCAGCAGCUGUUGGCUAAGAUGGAAGGAUUCAGACUUCCAGUCCUCAGAUUUAGUGUGGGUAAGAAUGUUUUAGAUUGGGGUUAAGCCUGUUGGGAAGCCCUCCAGCAACUCACUGAAAAGACGGUUAUAUUCCUUUCCUGAAAUAAUUGUUUUUUUUCCUUUAGUAGCCCUCCUGCUUCGCCUGCUCCAUGGCAGUGUAGCUGUUCGUGACAGAGCUGGGUGUGUUGCUGCAUCGCUCUCAGGCCUGUUUUUUGGGACCACAUCCAGCAGCAAUAUCUUUGAGUUGCAGUUUAUCACUGAUAGUAGAGCAGGAAUCAGCAUUGUGGAGCAGCAGCCAUCUGGACUUGGAGCUAGUCAGCUUGAGGUUGUAUCCCAGCUCAGCAUGAAGCCUCAGGAGUAGAGCAAACUUCUGCUGGGAAGCUAUGAAGCUUCCCUUCCUAUCCCCGGAGAAACAUCUGAGGCUGGGCCUUGUCAUUCCCACCUCUGCUGCCACAGAGGCCCUUCUAGAGCCUGGAGCCUCUAGGAGAAGAAAAGGGGCACGUGAAUCCAGGCAGGAGAGGACGUGCCCUUUAAAGGCCAAGUCCUUUUAGGAGCAGCGGGCUGCUCUUAGGAAGGCUCCGUGCAGUCACAGCAGGGACCGGACCUGCGAUGGCUGUAGAUUCAGCUGCGACAACAAGCAGAGAAGGGGAGAUGAUAACGCAGCUGAUGGGCAAAGACGUGCUGAAGUAGUACCAGGUCUACGUGAGGCGUCACUCCAAGGAGAGCAGCGUGUGCCGCUAGCUCUCAGUGGACUUCYGGGGGCGCCUUUGCCCGUGGGAACUCUUCCCAAACCUGCCAGGGCAAAAGAGGGCAGAAACCCCCUCUGCGCUUUCCCAACAAGCGGAUAAUUUGACAGCUCUUUAAAAUUAUAGCAAAUCACCUUUUAAAUGUAAAUACUGCAAAACAUCGUAGACGCAUUCUGGGUGGGGACCCAGGGCUCACACACAACAUUGGCAAACAAGACGCGCAAAGGCUGUCGGAA
ensembl:lncRNA